rnacentral:rRNA from 1 species
GACGAACGCUGGCGGCGUGCUUAACACAUGCAAGUCGAACGAUGAACUUAGAGCUUGCUCUGGGGGAUUAGUGGCGAACGGGUGAGUAACACGUGAGUAACCUGCCCUGGACUCUGGGAUAACUUCGAGAAAUCGGAGCUAAUACCGGAUAGGACCUUGCACCGCAUGGUGUGGGGUGGAAAGUUUUUCGGUUUGGGAUGGACUCGCGGCCUAUCAGCUUGUUGGUGAGGUAAUGGCUCACCAAGGCGUCGACGGGUAGCCGGCCUGAGAGGGUGAACGGCCACACUGGGACUGAGGCACGGCCGAGACUCCUACGGGAGGCAGCAGUGGGGAAUAUUGCACAAUGGGCGCAAGCCUGAUGCAGCAACGCCGCGGGCGGGAUGACGGCCUUCGGGUUGUAAACCGCUUUUAGUAGGGAAGAAGCCUUCGGGUGACGGUACCUGCAGAAAAAGGACCGGCUAACUACGUGCCAGCCGCCGCCGUAAGAC